CUAACUAAAACUCAACUGAAGGAUGACGUGGAGAGUGAUUGGAGACUCAGCCAUUUACAGCUCCAGACACGGAUCUGUUCACACCUUCGCCAGCGUUCCUCUGUGCUUCUAGACCCCUGAAAUAAGCUUCUGACGAGUAUACAAAAGACAAGACUAAUAUUUUUCUCCGUCCCGCUUCCUUCACACCAGGAAGGAAGAAGAGGAGGAGGAGGAGGAGGAAGAAUACAAAGGAAUGCAAAGGAAGGAGGAGGAAGAAGAAGAACUAGAAACAGGAGGAAUACGUGUUACAAAGACAGAUGACCUAACAAGAGGUUGAACGUAUCGGAGGGAAGAGUUUGAGAGGGCACACGACACAUGGAGAGGAGCAAGUGAACAGGAUGGAAUUAAUCUUCCAUGACAGGAGUGCCGCCGCCGCCGCCACCGCCACCACCACCACCACCACCACCACCACCACCACCACCACCACCAGUCUUGGCUACAACUACAGAAGCUUGCCCAGGACUAGAAAGUUUAAAGAAACUGCAAAAGUGAGGGCGGGGCGGGACGGGCGGCAGGCAAGCGGUUGGUUGGUUGGUGCAGAAGACCAGGGGAGAUGUUAAUCAGACCACAGCUCCUCACACCAGUGGGAGCCCCGUCCUCAUAUUCUGCAGUGGUGAGGGAGAGAAGGAAGGAGCUGGCCAUUACAAGUUUCCCAUCGUUCUAAAAAGGAAAGUUUGGGCUGAAAUCAACGCGGGAGCUUUCACGGGACUGCACGAGACUUAUUUAUCUUUCAAGUCUAUCCCUCUCCCUCUCCCAGGCAACACUCGCAUUUAACUCCCUAAGUCAACAGGAGAAAGAAGCGGCGAGGCGAUCUGAAAGUGGUAGCAAUGUAUAUGAUCGUGUUUUCUUGUUGGCUAAUUCCCGUGUUUACGUUCAUCUCGCUUGGAAAGACUUGAUAGAAACGAGGAGAAGGAGGAGGAGAAGGAGGAGGUGGUGGUGGUGGUGGUGGUGGAAUUGUUGCAAAGGAGGAGGAAAAGAGAGAAGGAAUAGAAAGAGUU